GUGGAUUAGAUACCCUGGUAGUCCACGCCCUAAACGAUGACGACUGGUUGUUGGAGGAGUUAAAUCCUUCAGUAACGCAGCUAACGCGUGAAGUCGUCCGCCUGGGGAGUACGGUCGCAAGAUUAAAACUCAAAGGAAUUGACGGGGGCCCGCACAAGCGGUGGAUGAUGUGGUUUAAUUCGACGCAACGCGAAAAACCUUACCUACCCUUGACAUGUGAGGAACCCUGCAGAGAUGCAGGGGUGCCCGAAAGGGAACCUAAACACAGGUGCUGCACGGUCGUCGUCAACU
rnacentral:rRNA from 1 species